GAAAGGCUCAUUAAAUCAGUUAUGGUUCCUUAGAUCGUACCCACAAUUACUUGRAUAACUGUGGUAAUUCUAGAGCUAAUACAUGCAAACAGAGCUCCGACCGGAGACGGAAGGAGUGCUUUUAUUAGAUCAAAACCAAUCGGUGGCGGGCUCGUCAUCGUACAACUUGGUGACUCUGAAUAACUUUACGCUGAUCGCACGGUCAUCGCACCGGCGACGCAUCUUUCAAAUGUCUGCCUUAUCAACUGUCGAUGGUAGGUUCUGCGCCUACCAUGGUUGUAACGGGUAACGGGGAAUCAGGGUUCGAUUCCGGAGAGGGAGCCUGAGAAACGGCUACCACAUCCAAGGAAGGCAGCAGGCGCGCAAAUUACCCACUCCCGGCACGGGGAGGUAGUGACGAAAAAUAACGAUACGGGACUCAUCCGAGGCCCCGUAAUCGGAAUGAGUACACUCUAAACCCUUUAACGAGGAUCAAUUGGAGGGCAAGUCUGGUGCCAGCAGCCGCGGUA
rnacentral:rRNA from 1 species